UUUUAUGAUGAAUAAGCGCCUAGCGCGAUAAUCCCAGCUCGUUGAAUCCCUCAUUUUUAUAUCACGUUCGAGGGCAUCUUGAAAUUAAAGUACUGCACUGAAAA
rnacentral:snoRNA from 1 species